rnacentral:rRNA from 1 species
CAGUCAUGCCGGUGAGAAUCAACUUUGGGGAAAAGGGGAUUUUUUGAACCUAACUUUGAAGUGCACUUCUUCGCUUGGCAGGUUAGCGUCGAUUUUGAACGUCAUAAAAUGAUGGGGGAAGGUAGCUCUUUCGGGAGUGUUAUAGCCCUUAAUUAAUGUGAUAUUUGGGAUCGAGGAUUGCAACGGAUACCUUUUAGGCUAGCCGCCUGGCCUCUGAUUCGAUGUUGGGUUAUAGACAGCACGCUGACUAUGAUCUGAUUAUUGGUCAAAAGGUUGAGCGAGC